GGAACGAUAGCGUUUUUGGAAACAUACUUGGCUGCACGAACAAAAAGUAAAGGUAAAACAAAAAAUAUUGCAUGUGUCAACUCUGGUCGCAACUUUUUAUAAAAUCGCUUGAUACACACAGCAUGCAGUUCAGCAGAUAAACAUCAUCCUGAUUAGAGAAAUCUCCAAUGUCGGCCGAUGAGUAACGUAUUCCUCCCCAGUUCCCCUAUCUUUAAAUGUCCUCGUGUACACCCUGCGAGUGUGGGGGUAUUCACGAGGACAACCCUUUUAUCCUGUCUGGUGAAAAAUUCUUGACUAAAUUUCAAAAUUUCAUGACUAAGAGGGACCUGCAGUCCUGCACUGGCACUUCCUGGUUAUUUGUUAGAACAACAAACACGAGGUAGUCGUAUGCUACAGAAAUAAAAACGGGUUAUUCUUUUUUUUUAAUGAAAUGUUUAUUAUCAGAAUUAAAUUUUGAUCAAUCAGCACAAAAUUUUAUUUUUAGAAGAUUUUCUUUUUGUAUCAGGCGGUGAACUUCGUGCUUCAGAGAAAGAGUUCCGAGGUGUUCAUUGAUGCGGAACUGUCGACCGUGACGGAUCCAGCGGAUUUUCAGGUUUUCGUAAAAGAUGUUCCAGUGAUUAGAGUUCGACAUAAGCGUCCACCAUCAAGUCCGGAUAGGUGCGAUCGUAAUUCUCGCGUAUCUUUUCGAUGUCACGAUCGAAUAGGAUCAACUCCACCAAAAUCGGGUCAAAAAGAAGCACUUCUGUUGGAUACGAACGGGUCCAGGGCCACGGGUGAACCGGGCAAUAAAUGACGGCCACUCGCGAUUACCUCGAAUCACUUUGGAGAAUCCGGAAUUAUCGGCCGUUUCAAUCUCGCGAGUGUCAGUUGUUGUUCGACAACUCUUCCACCAGGUGGAGUAGUUCGCGGCGAAAUUCCCUCACAUCCGGAAUAUUAAUGCUGUCGCAUGGCCCUAGAGUCAGAAUCUUUUUGCUCUGCGUCAUCUCCAAGUUUUGCCGAUAUUCCCUGACGCUGAAAUCCAAUUUGUAAGUCGAAUCUUGAUCAACAAUUGCCUCAAUGUUGCUACCCCUGGCCAUUGGAAUGAUCCUGAUCUCAUUGUGAAUAUGGUAAUAAUUAACCUUAGCGAAUAUUCUCUAAUUGUGUCCCAAAAUGAUUCCUUGAAUUCUUCUUGUCUUCAUUUUGACAUUUCCGACAUGAUUUUUGAACACCAACAAAACCCCUGAAAAACGAAUUACGUAUACGGUCUCGUAGCUCAACGACAAAAUACUUUAAUGUAAUCCGGUGGUACUAGUUACCUGCUGGGAAUGUGUGGAGACGACAUGAAGUUGUCCGGACGACGGAUCGCGACUCUCCCGAGACUGAGCUGUUAAAAUUACUAUUUUUAUUAAUUAAUUCAAUGGUAAAUCGAAUUACUAAACAUAUUAGAUCAAUACGAUUGAUUAAAUUUUUCACACGAAUUCGUUUCAGGUACCUUCGGAGCUGCUAUCUGAAUCCUAUUAUAAUAAGGGCUGCGUUUUUCUUUUACUUUGGUUUCGCCAUCAUUUUCAACCAAUUGAGGAAAAAUUAUUAAGCGUAGAGGAAUAAAUUCACCAAUAAUUUACCAUAUUUUUACUGGAAAGUAAUAAUUGUUCAGUGUGUGAGACUGAGUUAAUCAUGCUGAGAGGAAUAGCCCUCCCAAUAUCGUGUAAGAGCAAGUAAGAAAAGUUCUCCUUCAAAGUGCUGUGAAUUUCUCUCAACUGUCAUACGACGGUAACCAUUAUAGGUGUCUGGGUGUAUGUGAUAAUGUGUAUGGUUUUGGUUAGUUUUCAUUUUUCAUCACAUGGGAACGAAAUGAGGCGAUUAUUAGUUCAUCUAAAUUAGAUGAUCUAAAAAUUGAAAGAUGAUCUAAUUGAGUUCCCAAUCACAAUCAAGUCAUCUAUCUUAUUUUGCAGCAAUAUAGCUUUUCUCAUUUUCUGUUCUCAAUAAACGGAAGUCACAGCAUUUCUCGUAUUAAUAUCGAACGAGUCGGCAGAAAGUAGUUGGAGACAUUUUUAUUGCGAUCCUUCCUUAUUAGAGUAGUCCUAGAUCGCCCCCAGUCAAUCCGGUUGAAAAAAUUGACAUGCGCCAGGAAAAUUCUCUCGUGUUUUUCCAUUAAAAUUGGUUGGUUCAAACGUACCAAUCGAAACUUUUUUGAAAAUUCAGUUCUGAUUUCCUUAUGUUGUUACUUUUUAAUUUUUUAAGAUUUGGAAUUCGAUGAAGUGAUGCCGAGCUUAAAUCUUGGAUCAUCGAGUCAAUCAUUCUGCUGGGGAAGACUUCGGUUCUCUUGGAAGAAUUGGCGCAUCAACUCACACAUCGCGCCCAGGAUCCUUCACGCCCACCAUUUAGGGAACCGGCCAAGAAAACCUUCACUGCUCAGCCGCGUUUUCCACGAGCGAAUAUCCUUCAAAACCAAAUUAGGCCAUUCAACAUGGGAAGCGGAAGCCCCUACCCAAGUCAAUCUGGAAACUGGACAGCGUUCCGAUAUGACGGCCGAAUCCGCCUCACCCAUCUGCGCUG